rnacentral:lncRNA from 1 species
GGGGGAGGCACUUCAUCUCUGCCGUCACUCAGAUUCAAGCCUGUGCACUGGUGGUGGUGUUGACUUUUGCUGCUGCAAAAUUCCCAGAUACGUUUCUGCCCUGGUUUGCCAAAUCCCUGAUGUUUCCCGUGUCUGGUGGCAGCUUAGCUCCUCCAGCCCCUGGGCAGAGGAGCCUGGGAACCCUGUGUCUCUGCUCUCCCUCCCCCAGUGACACACCAUGCCCUGAACUCUUCAUGUGGUCGCUGGCAGUCACCCACAUCAGACCAGUGCUGCCCUCGGUAUAGUGAUAGCAGUGACUGAUGAAAUGUCCACCAGGUGCCUGGCACUGUCUCUCACUUGUCCCUCUGAAAUGAUUGGUAAUGUCCCCAUUUUACUGAUGAGGAAGUGGAGGCUCAGAGAAGCAGCGUGCCCAAGGUUGUGGCUAUGCUUAAGUGGCCAGAGUCAGGAUUCAAGCGCAGGCCUGACUUCAAAGCUCAGGCUCCUAGUAAACAACAUUGCUGCCUACGGUAAGCAGGCCUAGUCAACAGCAGGCCACUAAGCUGUCUCAUUGGUGGGCACUAGCUAGGUGCUGAGGGCUUUCUACACACCACACGGUGGAAUAAGUCCUCUCUCUCCAGGGUCUCUGGCCUUCCCCACAUUCCUGACAAAUGCUGUAACCCCUCCUGGUUGCUCAUAAAGCAGAGAAGGAACACAGGCAAAUGCGGUGGAUUGCUGUUCCUAGGGAUUCGAAUUCCGGGAGGGAUAAGUACAUGUGGUCUCCACAAAAGUAUAAAUAGGAAGACCUCACACGUGAGAGAGUGAGAGUUUUGGGGCUGAGACAGCGGUGCAGUGGAUUCCCCACAUUCACUGCCUGCAUGGCCCCUGGCCCUUUUACUCCUGACAACUUGCAGCUUGGGGGAAGGGACGCCCCAUUCAAAGCCCUGGGUCUUCCCUGAGGGUCAGUUUUUGGUUCAAGGAGCCAUCUUUCUGCCAAAUUAAACCAAAAGGAGACCCUUUGCUACUAUGAGAUGAGUGCCCAUGGGCUCUACUUCAGUUCUCAGCAAGUACCCUUCCUGACUUUCUGGCUCUCUUCCUUUCCUCAGGUGUUGACUUUAAGAUGAAGACUAUAGAGGUAGAUGGCAUCAAAGUGCGGAUACAGAUCUGGUGAGUUGGGUGGGAGGAGAGGACCCUGGGCUGCUCCCUAGCUGCUGCUGCCAUGUGUAAAAUCCCAAGGCUUCAUCUGGAGUAACUGGUCACCUCUUUGAUGGCGAGAAGCAGAAGUCUCAAAGCCCAUCUCCUGUUCCCGGGAGCCUUAAUCUCUCAUCUGUCAAGAAACGUUAUGGGACUGAUCACAAGUCACCAAAAAGCAGGAAUUAGAAGGAAUUGGCAUACCACGCACUAUGGCUUUGUCUUUGAAUAAAGCUUUGUCCUUGGGCUAUGCUGCACUGCCCUAAGAUUGGAAGGAGUGAGGGCUAACCCCAUCCUUAGGGUGAGAAUUCUGGUCAGUGUUUCUCAAUACAGCACAGUGCAGUUCCCAUACGUAGCCACAGGGGGCCACUGUGGCUCUCUGGCCUGGUGCUCCUGGAAACUGCUUUUCCAGCAUUUGGAGCGGCUUCCUGGUUUUAGACUGGUAACCGCGCUGCCGCCAGAGGUCCCAGAAGGGCUGGAGGUAGAGCGGUCCCACCAGUCUGGCCACAGUGGCCAAAUCCUAGAGACUCUUGUUCAAGGCCCAGUUACAGUUGUUGCUCCUGGUGCAGGUAUAGUUGACCAGCCUUGUCUGCACCAAUGACCGGGACUCUCUCCUGCAGAGUCAGAUAUGUUUGGAUCCCCUUGGGCACCAGUGCUCCACUGAUUUUUCACCCUGCAGUUCUCCAGUUUUUCCCAUAAAGGCAGAGGUCUCCCGGCUCCUGCUCAUCCUGUCCCCACCUGCUUCCGUGGUCCCUGCCCUUCUGAAAGGCUGCCUUGCUAUUGCAGGGACACAGCAGGGCAGGAGAGAUAUCAGACCAUCACAAAGCAGUACUAUCGACGGGCCCAGGUGAGCCACCAUCUUCAGGGUUUAGAAGUAGGAUGCUACCGUCCACACUCCUGGCUCUGGGUGUUUGAGAUCCCCAGAUCGGGCCCUCAGAUUGCCUUCUGGUGGGGGCUGGGAGAGGGGAGGUGGGGUGGUGCUCAGGUCUUUCAGUCAUUCAUCAAUCAUUCAUUUAUCAGUUACUCUCUUGAGCACUCACUACAGACAGGUCCCCACCCUCAACCCCAGGCCAAAGGCCCAAGUCGAAGUAUGGGUGCCUUCCCCUUCUCAGAGGGUUCUGUGAUGAGCCUAGGGAGCAGUGGGUUUGGGGGUCUGAGAGAGAAGGAGACUCUUCUGGGUGCUGAGGGGCCUUCAUGAUGCUACACAGGGAUAAGGGAGAUGGGGACCCAGCAUGUAAGGUACCACAGCCGCCUCUGGCCCCAUGACUGUGCGCUGUCUCUGUGUGCAUCUGCCUCCCCCUUCUCUCUCUCUUCUCUCUCAGGGAAUAUUUUUAGUCUACGACAUUAGCAGUGAGCGCUCCUACCAGCACAUCAUGAAGUGGGUCAGUGAUGUGGAUGAGGUAGGAGAUGCUGCCUCGCCAGCACGGGUGGGGAAGGGCACUUCAGAGGGAAAGGCAAAGAGAAGGCCGGGUGGGAAGGGCUGCAGUUCGCAGGGUUGGCAAGCAAACGCUUUCAGGAACCCUUGCCUUCCAUAGCCCUGGAAUGGAGACCUCUAGGUGAGUAAGACAUGGGGAAGAAGCCCAAGCAGCCGUGCCCUCCAUGCUCGGCACCUUGCCAGGCCUCCAGGGCUGUGUUGUCCCCAGAAACGAGUUAGGACAAGAGCCUCCCCUGUGAACAGCCUCCUUCCCAAGGUCUCAGGACCGGGUGGAAUUUUGAGACUUGGGUUCCAGUUCUAGCUCAGCUGGAACAGCUAUGGAGCCUUGGGCCAGCCAUGUGUCCUUUCCAGCUCAGAUAGCAGUUGUCCACCUCAGGAAGCACCAGUACCUUCUACCUUAAAGAGUCCCCGUGACAGCCCUCUGGGACCCCUGGGGUCAGCUGUGGUACUUGGGGAGCCGGGCACCCGCACCCAGUCAGCCCGCUCUGUCCCUAGGGCUCUGAACUUUGGAGCCGGUGUGGAGGCUGUGUGGUGGGGAGAUGGGAGGGGAGGCAGUGCUCACUGGCAGCUCUGCCUGUCCUUUGUCCCCAGUAUGCACCAGAAGGUGUUCAGAAGAUCCUUAUAGGAAAUAAGGCCGAUGAGGAGCAGAAACGCCAGGUGGGAAGAGAGCAGGGGCAGCAGCUGGCUAGAGAGUAUGGCAUGGACUUCUAUGAAACAAGUGCCUGCACCAACCUCAACAUUAAAGAGUCCUUCACGCGCCUGACGGAGCUGGUGCUGCAGGCCCACAGGAAAGAGCUGGAAGGUCUGCGGACGCACGCCAGCCAUGAGUUGGCCUUGGCGGAGCUGGAGGAGGAGGAGGGCAAACCCGAGGGUCCGGUGAACUCUUCGAAAACCUGCUGGUGCUGAGGGUCCCACGUGGAGCACCCGCACAAUCCCCUCUCCCCGCAGGAGGCCUGCGGGCAUACAGGGAGCCUGGGCCUCGCCCUGCUUCUCCUCUCCUUUGGGUGGCCUGUGGCAUCUCAGCCGCUGCUUCUCCCCCUGCCUGGCACCAAGAGCAGCUACGCUGUCUUGUCUGAACAGCCUUGCCUCCGGCCCUCCACCGGGGUGUCCCCUCCAGCCUGUUUCCCCAGCCACAGGUCUGCUACUGGUCCCGACGUGCCAUGAGCACUGCCUCACUGCCCCAGCUCCCAGGCAAUGGCCGAGUCUGGAGUCAAGGCCUCUGUAAGGCUCCAUCUCUUUCAGUGCAUCUGGUGUCCUCUGCUUUUUCUCGCUUCUUCCCACUUCUCUCUCUCUGUACCCCCGCCUCCUGCUGUGUUCAUAUCAACCUUUCCCACCCCCCGCGCCAUGCCAUGUGGCUGCUAGUGUGGCCCUUCUCCCCACCCCCCCAGCCUUGGCCUAUCCCAGGGAAUGGACUCAGGCUCAGGGGCGAGUUUCCUGCUCUGCUCCAGGGAGAACCUGUGCCCUGCUUGGUGGGCACUUCUUCCUGUCCUCCCCGCCCCACCGCCCUGUCUUGUGCCAUGGGCCUGCCUCCCCAGGCACCGGGGAAAGAGGAAUGUCAAGGGAGGAAGGAAAGCUCAAACUGGUGGUCCCCACGCCUGGGGCUUUCCUGCCUCCUGCCCCCAGCGUCAGCCUUGCUUGGCUGCCUGCCAGCUGCCAUUGGGGAAACUGAGCUUGAGGCAGGUGCUUCUGAGAAGAAAAAAAAUGAUGAGGGGUGGCAGGGACAAAAAGUCACCUCCAUUCUCUACCUCCCAGGCAGCAUGUAUACCAUUUCUACUCCCCUGGGCUCCUGAAUUGAAAGAUGCGGACCAAGCCUGGAGGGCACUGUGGGGGCAAGGAAAGCCUCGGGGCCAACAACAAGCUCCAGAAAGGGGACUGUUUGGUAGUGAAGGACCAGCUCCUAUCUAUCAGGUUAAGAGCCAGGGAGAGCAGGCAGGGUAGCAGUUUGCACACGAGAGGGGAAUUCAGCAACAGGAGGGAUUCCUGGGCCUCCUCUUCCAUUUCUUGUGUGAGAAAGGUGUUUCCCCACCACCCCUGGCAGUGAGAGGUGACAGAACCACCCUGGGGGGCUUUCUCUGAGCCCAGCCUGGGGCUCUCGAGGUUUUCCUGAGAACCAAAGUUUGCGGGACAAGGGCAGGGAGCUCAUGGGAAGAAAGCAAGCGAGCCCUGGGUAGGGAUGCUUGGUGCUGUUCCCUUCAGCCUUCAAGGCAAGUGCCCAUCUUGCCCCUCUGGCUCCUGAGUCAGAGGCUUGAGGUUUGCCAGCUGCACUGUGGCUACAGGUGGAAGGAAGCAGACUCGCUCCUCCAGGGCCCUUUGUUCAGGAAGAUGUUUCUUUAACCCCAUAUGGUCCAAGAGUAGCUUAAGGAGGCCCUUUAAGGAGGGAAUGAGUCAGUUACCAGCUCUAGGGAGGAGGGUCAGUCUUAAGUGUGUUGCAUGGCUGGAGCUGGAGCUAAAACACAGAACUGAGCAUCCAACACUCAUUGAUUAAGGAGGAGGGUCAGUCUUAAGUGUGUUGCAUGGCUGGAGCUGGAGCUAAAACACAGAACUGAGCAUCCAACACUCAUUGAUUAAGGACCAAAAUCCAGGAUACACACACGUAAAGGAUCAAGAGUCCCACUUCCUUAUUCUGCCGAAGAAAAAAGGUGAGGGAUGAACUCACCGAACCUUUCCUCCUGGUUCUUACCAGAUCAGGAGAGGGUAGCUCAGGGUGUAGGAACGGAGACGGGUCGGCAUGGUGAAAGGAAGAGGAGGGCAGGAAUAGUUAUAAAUCAUCGACUAAUGAGACAUGUAGAGCUGCCUCUUUAGAAUGAAGUCACAACCAUAGCUUAGGAGGCUUCCUUGACAACUGACUCCUCAGGCGUCAAGACAUAUGCAGUCGCACAGAGGGGGGGUGGGGAGGUCAGCAGUGCCAACCCUCGGCGUGCCCUCAGCCAGGGCCUCGAGGAAGGGAAGUUAUCCUGGCCAUCAGCUCCACCUGUGGAUCAGAAUCUCCACUUCCCUCAAGAUCAGGCUGAGCACCAUUGCCUUUCUCUCCCAGCCCCCUCAGGAAAGAGGGGCUGUAUUUUUACUGUAUUCUUGGGUUUUGGAAGGGAAAACUUGAGGCUGGGAUCCUACGGCCUGGUAAGCCCCAUCCACAAGGGCCACAGUCAGGGAGAGGUUGAGGGCAGGAGGGUUGGGAUUUUAGGGUGCAGCUAUGCUCACCAGGUACCAGAGUCAGCUUCUCACCCCUAAACUCCAGUGCAGGAGGUGGCCUGGGACCUGGCCUUUGGCCCAGACUGUUGAGCAGGCACACCUGCCUGUUGGCUCCUCACCACCUGUGCACCUGUUGCCUCGAGACUCAGCCCCAGGCACUCCACCUGCUCUAGAGCCCCACCAUCUCCCUGUGAUGGGUGAACUUGUGUGCUGUGUCUCGGGUCCAGUAUAUAAAUUGUGAGCAGGGUUCAUCUAUUUUAAACACAGAUGUUUACAAAAUAAAGAAUAUUUCAA